UACAGAGGAUGCAAGCGUUAUCCGGAAUGAUUGGGCGUAAAGCGUCUGUAGGUGGCUUUUUAAGUCCGCCGUCAAAUCCCAGGGCUCAACUCUGGACAGGCGGUGGAAACUACCAAGCUGGAGUACUGCAGGGGAGACUGGAAUUCCGUGGUGUAGCGGUGGAAUGCGCAGAUAUCAGGAGGAACACCGGUGGCGAAGGCAGGUCUCUGGGCUAACACUGACGCUCAUGCACGAAAGCGUGGGGAGCA
rnacentral:rRNA from 1 species